rnacentral:rRNA from 1 species
UCCCAGUUCGGAUUGUAGUCUGCAACCCGACUACAUGAAGCUGGAAUCGCUAGUAAUCGCGGAUCAGAAUGCCGCGGUGAAUACGUUCCCGGGCCUUGUACACACCGCCCGUCACACCAUGGGAGUCGGUAACACCCGAAGUCGGUAGCCUAACCGUAAGGAGGGCGCCGCCGAAGGUGGGAUUGAUGACUGGGGUGAAGUCGUAACAAGGUAUC